CCGCCGCGCCCCAAUCUAGCCGCAUGGCACGGCCAUGGCCAUGGCGGCGGCCAGAUCCACCCCCUCCCUCAUCUCCUCGCUGCUGCCACCUCCUCCCCGUCCUGCAGCGGCGCGUCCCACCACCACCUCCUUCCUUGAUGCGUCCCGCAGCGACGCCCAUCGCGUCCCGCAGAUGCCGUCCCUCUCCCUCAAUCCCCACCGCGUUCCCCAAUCCCCAUCCCCAGCCAAAAUCUUCCCCAUCUCCCCCGGCCGAUUCUCCUCCCGUCCGCGUCCCCUUCCCCACCCCCGCUCCCAGAUCGCGCCGCGCGCCGCCCCUGACCGCCGCGGGAACCCCACCCCGCCACCGACGAGGCCCGACCCCCCGGGGGCCCAGCCAAGAUGGUGCUCGCGUAGAUGGGCGGGAGCAUCUCCCGCGCGCUCGCGCAGAUGAGCAACACCACAGUCGACGAGAAGGUGCUCGGGGAGUGCCUCAACGAGAUCUCCCGCGCUCCUGCAGUCCGACGUCCGGAAGAUCGUCAACCUGGAGACCCUCGCCGCCGGCACCAACAAGCAGUGCAUCAUACAGCAGGCCGUCUUCAGGGAGCUCCGCAACAUGCUGGAUCCAGGGAAGCCGGUAUUCAACCCCAAGAAGGGCAAGCCCAGCAUCGUCAUGUCCUGGUUCAAGAGCCCAUCAUCUACAACGUCCGCGCGUGACCCAACCUCGUCGAGAGCACCUCCGGGAGCCGGGAUCUCCAGAUGAGUUCUAAAGAAAGUAGGAAUGUUCCUGUGCUUUUCCGAAACAGAGUUAGAGUGCUCAAGCGUGUGCCAAGGUUCUAACAUUUUCUCGAACGCUUUGUGCUGGUAUGUAUGUCACAUCUUGCUUCCAUUGCAGCCUCAACACCCACUUUGCGUUUCUGCAAUCACUAAUUAUACUCCAGUUUGGUGGGUUCCAAAUGUUGUUGCUGCACAUGUAAAAGAAAGGGAUUCAGGCUACACAUCUAGCUUCUGGAUGUAUCUAUCUCACUGCCUUUUGCUGUUCCACUCUGGUUUUGCUUACUUUCUAAAAUGGGUGUUUUAAUAAUAAUGUUUAUAAAGGCUGGAGAUGUACCAUUUCUCUCACCUCAUCUUCUUAUCAUUGCCGGACAUAUGCCCCCUUCUUUUGGGUGAUGGUGAUUUCAUAUUUAUCAUGGAAUAAAAUAACAUGCUAUGGGAGCAGAAACUAUUCACUUAAUUAUUUAAGGCCAAGAAGUAUAAAUCGAGGCACCUCCUCUCCUCUCCUCCUGUUGAUGCUUGAUUGUUACCUGGAAUAAAGAUUGUUUUCAGGAACAUGAAAGUAUUACCGUUUGUUAGGACAUGAUGACUGUUUGUUUACUGCUUUAUGAUUUUGUGUAGAGUUGCGUCCUUCUUGUCCCCUUUUACCCAAGGCCAUCUUGUUGUGUCAAUGGCUGUGUUGCCGUUUCAAGUUUGUCGACGACAUAGUAUCCCCUGUGAUCCUCUUCAGACUAGACUCUUUAGUUUCUAUCUCAUGUUCAUAGCGUUCUAGUUUGUCGACGACAUAGUAUCCCCUGCGAUCUCUUAGUGAAAUGAGAGGUUUGAUUGAUGCUGUAUAGGAUUGGCUAGUUUUGCUUAAUGCAAUAUGUCUUGUGCAAUCAGAUUACAUUUCUGUUUGUUAUGGUAAUAUAAAAAAUAAUCGUGCUGUCAAAAUUUUCAUAGUGCGUGCCUUUUAUUUCUUUAGUUUGAUUGUUUCCCUUGUAUUCAAUAUGCUUCUAAUGCCUGAUCCUUUCAUUUUUGUUGUGGCAUCUUUAUUUUCACAGGUGUUGUGUGUCCUGGAAGAUGGAAGAGAAAGAAAACUUAUUUUUGUUGAACUAAAUUUUCUGUAUUCCAUUUUGUUGUACUUAUCAUUUGAUAGUUUUGUAUAGGAACAAGUGAUACUAUUUUGAAGGGCUUUAUGGCCUGUGAUGUAAACAUAUUUAGUGCUGAAAUAUGAAAUUAUUUGCAAAA